rnacentral:rRNA from 1 species
UACGUAGGGUGCAAGCGUUGUCCGGAAUUAUUGGGCGUAAAGAGCUCGUAGGCGGUCUGUUGCGUCGGCUGUGAAAACCCGGGGCUCAACUCCGGGCCUGCAGCCGAUACGGGCAGACUAGAGUUCGGCAGGGGGAGACUGGAAUUCCUGGUGUAGCGGUGAAAUGCGCAGAUAUCAGGAGGAACACCGGUGGCGAAGGCGGGUCUCUGGGGCCGAUACUGACGUGAGGAGCGAAAAGCGUGGGGGAGCGAACAGG